GCCGCGGUAAUUCCAGCUUCAGCAGCAUCUAUUAAAGUUGCUGCGGUUAAAAGGCUCGCAGUUGAAUGUCUGUAUCGAGCGCAGGUCAGGUGGACGUUGGGGCGUGGAAGUACGGGCAGUUGGAUGUCCGGGGGGCCUCGUGCUCAACGGCUCCUUCGGCUUUUCCACACACCCCCGUCCCUUACAAGCCUCCUCGCUCGGGUACAUAACGGGAAUCGGUCAAACGGAGUGUGGUCUUGGGAGUUGGGGCGUGCGUGGCUUCGCGGUUGCGUGCGUUCUUUCUUUCGGGGCUGCGUCAAGCUCCAUCGGUUUCACGGUCACCUUGAGUAAAUCAGAGUGCUCAAAGCAGUCGUAGGGGCCUUGCGCCCUGUGAACAGUCUUGACGGACUGACUUGGUUUUGCAUGGCAUGUCGGAAGACGACGUCGUGUGCUGGCUCAGAGGAUAAAUCAGUGGUACAAGCCAGCCUCGACGUAAUGAUUAAAAGGGACGGUCGAGGGCAUUGGUAUUGCGAGGCGAGAGGUGAAAUUCUGUGACCCCCGCAAGACCUCCUGAAGCGAAAGCGUCUGCCAAGGACGUUUUCAUUAAUCAUGAACGAAAGUUAGAGGAUCGAAGGCGAUCAGAUACCGCCCUAGUUCUAACCCUAAACGAUGCCAACCAUCAAUCCGCGCGUAGCACCCUUCUUAACGGGCUCGGCGGGCAGCUCCCCACUCACGGGAAACCAGAGCCUCUGGGUUCCGGGGGGAGUCUGGUUGCAAAGCUGAAACUUAAAGGAAUUGACGGAAAGGCACCACCAGGCGUGGAGCCUGCGGCUUAAUUUGACCCAACACGGGCCAUCUCACCAGGCCAGCACUCUUGUACGAUUGACAGAUUGAGAGCUCUUUCUCGAUUCAGUGGAUGGUGGUGCAUGGCCGUUCUUAGUUGGUGGAGUGAUCUGUCUGGUUAAUUCCGAUAACGAACGAGACUCUCCCCUGCUAACUAGUCGGUUGGAUCUUGAUCAGUGGGUUGAGUGCCGAGUAACUCUCGCUGUGCGUGAUGUGCGUCUCGUUCCUCACGGUUCGUUGCGUGCUCAUGUGUGGCGUUGGAUGCCUUGGAUCACACUGCACCCCAAGUCCGCCGCUUUGCUAUAACUCUUCUUAGAGGGAUUCACGGCACUGAAGCCGUAAGAGACUGAGAGCAAUAACAGGUCUGUGAUGCCCUUAGAUGCUCUGGGCCGCACGCGCGCUACAAUGCCGGGCACAGCAGGUGUUUCUCCUGCUCCGACAGGAGCGGGUAACCCUCUGAAAGCCAGUGUUCUUGCAAGUGCUUCCUCCCUCGUGGAGUUGCACAGAGGCGUGCUUGGGCCUGGGACUUGCAAUUCUUUCCCACCAACGAGGAAUGCCUAGUAGCGGCGGGUCACUGAGCCCGCUGUGACUCAGUCCCUGCCCUUUGUACACACCGCCCGUCGCUACUACCGAUUGGGUGUACCAGUGAGAGCCUUGGACUGGCGUCCGUUGUUGCUCGCAAGAGUGACAAGCGGGUCCGACGGAAAGAGGUCCGAACUGGUGCACUUAGAGGAAGUAAAAGUCGUAACAAGGUUUCCGUAGGUGAACCUGCGGAAG
rnacentral:rRNA from 2 species